AUUGAACGCUGGCGGCAGGCCUAACACACGCAAGUCGAGCGGGGUGAUGGUGCUUGCACUAUCACUUAGCGGCGGACGGGUGAGUAAUGCUUAGGAAUCAGCCUAUUAGUGGGGGACAACAUUUCGAAAGGAAUGCUAAUACCGCAUACGUCCUACGGGAGAAAGCAGGGGAUCUUCGGACCUUGCGCUAAUAGAUGAGCCUAAGUCGGAUUAGCUAGUUGGUGGGGUAAAGGCCUACCAAGGCGACGAUCUGUAGCGGGUCUGAGAGGAUGAUCCGCCACACUGGGACUGAGACACGGCCCAGACUCCUUCGGGAGGCAGCAGUGGGGAAUAUUGGACAAUGGGCGGAAGCCUGAUCCAGCCAUGCCGCGUGUGUGAAGAAGGCCUUAUGGUUGUAAAGCACUUUAAGCGAGGAGGAGGCUACUUUAGUUAAUACCUAGAGAUAGUGGACGUUACUCGCAGAAUAAGCACCGGCUAACUCUGUGCCAGCCGCCGCGGUAAAAC
rnacentral:rRNA from 1 species